rnacentral:rRNA from 1 species
UUGGUGGCGAGCAAUAUUGGACAAUGGGCGCAAGCCUGAUCCAGCCAUGCCGCGUGUGUGAAGAAGGCCUUCGGGUUGUAAAGCACUUUUGUUGGGGAAGAAAAGCAGCCAGUUAAUACCUGGUUGUUCUGACGGUACCCAAAGAAUAAGCACCGGCUAACUUCGUGCCAGCAGCCGCGGUAAAUAAAA